rnacentral:lncRNA from 1 species
UGUUGAUCUGCACAUUUCCUCUCUACAGCUUCUCACCAGUAUUUUUCAAGAGUCUCCUAGUUAUAACCACAGCCCCGCAGAGGCACAGCACUUGCUGGUUCCCACAAGAACUGAACCGAGAUUACCACAAGAAGAGAGCCCAAGGGAGAGGCCUUUGAGAAGCCUGGCCAGUUGUACCCUGACCUCUAGUCUAGAUUAGGAAAAAAAAAAAAAAAAAAAACCUGCUUCAGGCUAAACACAUGGCACUCAUGUAUCUUCAGAGAGUCAGUCUCUCCCUCCAUGGAUUGAUUGUCUUAACCAAAUGCUUUCAUGAGAACUGUCAUUUGCCCUGACAUGACAGGAACAGUCAGGUGAUCACUCUGAAAUUGCUUAGGAUGUCAAGCCAAGAUCCUCUAUGCAGGUCAUAUUUCCCUGUGUAUUUUGCCCUGAAGAAACUGUUCUGCUGCCCAGGCACGUACUGUUUUCAACUCUACCUUCUCCCAACAUUAAAAUGUUCUUUCCUCUUUUGGCAGAGUGGAUUGAUGAAUUUCCAAAGAUAGUGCAAGAACGGCAGCUGAUAAGAGUGAACUGGAAGUAGCCCAGCUACACUGGAUCUGUCCGUCCUAAAGAUCCUGAUCCCUGGAAGGCAUCAGUGGAAUAUCAUGGUGCCCAGCUAAUGAGGAGACCACAAAGGUGAAGACCCCAACCACCAAGGGACACCAUCACUAAGCUAUGAUGUUCAGUGGGUAGGUGAAUAAAAUCCUUUUUAACUUCAGACAUAGUUUUUCAAUUCACUAUGGGUAUUGCAUGGCAUAACCCAAUCAUAAUUUGAGGAGAAUUCAUCCUAUGGCUUUCAUUCACCUGGACUUCUCUAAUUCAGAAUUGACAAGGCCAUAAAACAGAAUUUCUGCCAAGGUGAGUAAUGGACCCUCAAACUAUGAGUCCAAACCAAACUCUUCCUCCUAAGCUGUCUUUGUUGGGAUUUUUAUCACAACUGUAAGAAAACUAAUGAACAUCUACUCUGUGAUAACUGGAGUACAGGCCACUGGCAUCAAGUACAUACAAUAGAUCAAUCCUAGACUGAAAAAUCUUAAAG